rnacentral:rRNA from 1 species
GACGAACGCUGGCGGCGUGCUUAACACAUGCAAGUCGAACGGAAAGACGCUGCUCUUGUGGGUUGCUCGAUAGGCGAGCGCGUGAGUAACACGUGAGUAUCCUGCCCUUAAAUGUGGGAUAACUUCAGGAAACUGGGGCUAAUACCGGAUAGGAUCUCCUGCUGCAUGUUGGUCGUUGGAAAGAUUCGGCGGUUGGGGAUGGACUGGCGGCUUAUGAGCUUGUUUGUGGGGUAGUGGCUUACCAAGGCUUCGACGGGUAGCCGGCCUGAGAGGGUGACCGGCGACAUGGGGACUGAGAUACGGCCCAGACUGCUACGGGAGGCAGUAGGGGGGAAUCUGGCAGAAUGGGGGGAAGCCUGAUGCAGAAACGCCGCGUGCGGGAUGCCGGCUUUCUGGGUAUAAACAGAUGUGUACGGUGACGAGCAGGGAGUGACGGUAAUGGGUCAAGAAGCCCCGGCUAACUACGUG